rnacentral:rRNA from 1 species
AUUGAACGCUGGCGGCAGGCCUAACACAUGCAAGUCGAGCGGAGCGGCGGACGGGUGAGUAAUGCCUAGGCAUCUGCCUGGUAGUGGUGGAUAACGUCCGGAAACGGGCGCUAAUACCGCAUACUAUCGGAUGAACCCAUAGGGGAUUAGCUAGUAGGUGGGGUAAAGGCUCACCUAGGCGACGAUCUCUAGCUGGUCUGAGAGGAUGAUCAGCCACACUGGGACUGAGACACGGCCCAGACUCCUACGGGAGGCAGCAGUGGGGAAUAUUGCAAAAUGGGCGCAAGCCUGAUGAAGCCAGGCCGCGUGUAUGAAGAAGGCCUUAGGGUUGUAAAGUACUUUCAGCGGGGAGGCGUUACCCGAAGAAGAAGCACCGGCUAACUCCGUGCCAGCAGCCGCGGUAAUAC